rnacentral:rRNA from 1 species
AGAUGCCUACAACAUAGCGUUAAUGCAUCGGAUCCCAUUAGAAAUCCACAGUUAAGAACGCUCGGGCUAUAUUAGUAUUGGGAUGGGUGACCGACGAGAAUUCCUAGUAUUUUACAUGCC